UUUUAGUUCGUAUACGUGUGGCGAAAGUAAACAUUUUUAGUGAUAAAAUAAUUUGAUUUGCUUUGACUUGACUUGAAGAUGUAAGAAUCGAGUACCGAGAGUAAUCGAUAGCUUGUCGUUGAGAAUCGCUAUCAGAUCGCUGAACAUAUCGAAGCCCAAAGAAAAACAAACAAAGUUUCUAGCAAUCUGCAAGGAAGGUUCUGCAUAAAUAAUUUACGGAAUAACUGGCUCCACUCCGGCGUAAUUAGCCGGAAUUCACAGUAUAGAAUCGCCAAGAUAUGACAACGCGAGCGAGGCCAAAAGUCAAAUAGCAGGGGCCAAAUGCAGUGAGCCAAAAAUAAUGAGCUCCAAAUGAAGUAGAACAAAAAGAAAACACAGUGUUAAUUAUUCAUAUUUCAUUAGCGAACAGCACAGAAACGCAGGUGAAGGCGAUACGGUGCGAUGCGAUAGCAAAAGGCAAAGGCGUGUGCCAUCUAAAAUUUAUAAAAAUCAAAGUAAGCACUGCGAGCGCAAGAAGACCAGCUUUCUGCAAGCCGACACUGAUAUCACCCUUUAUUUAAUUACAUAUAUGUUUGCAUAGAUAUGUAUAUGUUUAUCUCUGCAGAAUUGGAGAAUUGGUUUAUGGGAAUGGGCCCUGCACUUUUCAAGCCGCCCGAAAUUUACUUGGGCUGUCAAGUUAAUCAAUUAUUAACCAAAUAGUCAGUAAGUAAGCGGACCUGCGGAAAGAGUAAAACGAGGAAACCGAGGAGGAGCAGGAGGUCAGCUCCGCAGCGAGUAAAACAAAAGGGAAAUGUCGAAAAGGAAUCUGGAUACACAUCAUCAUUUGUCUUGGCGGGAAGAAGGCGAUGGCCAACCAAGGCGCAGUGGAGAGUGCCUCCUCCAUUUAGGCCAGGCACAUUGAUGAAUGAAGUGCGUAGUGGCUGAAAGGCCAAAAGGCAGGCCGCAUUAAAAAUGCACACGCAAUCAGAAAAUGCCUCACGACGGCCUCAUAAGCCGAAGUCUGAAGACUGAGUACACCCAGGAACACCAGAACCCGGCCCGGUCCCACUUUCAACUCCAUGCGCCGUACGCCAUACGCCAGGUGAUGGAUCAGCGGCCUCAGAUAAGACAGGCGAAGAAGGACAAGAAGCUAGAGCUGGAGGUGGAGGUGGGCCUGGAAGCCAGAUCCAGAGUUGGGGUAAUGAGUGUGUUGAAUUGGGGCUGCUGCCGUCAAAUGUUGUUAACCCCUUUUGAGCCGGGCCUCUCGCCGUGGAGAAACAAUUUAUAAUUUGUUUGAGGGCUUUCAGCGGCCUUUCAAGGCAAUUACCCCGCAUCCGCAUGGCGGACAGCAGGACCUGGCUUUACCUUUGGCAGCCAACACCUGCGCAGCAUUUCGGCCUGACUGGCUGCGAACUUUGGCACCCAUCCAUUGGCCAGCACUCGGAGAUUCGGGUUCACUUACUGGGUCAUCCUGUUGGCCAUCCUCCACAUUUUCACGCUGUGAUAUAUUGUGAAAACGCCGAGCAUGUUUCCUUUCACGGAACACCUUUAUUUGCCAUGGAUUCGUGUGUGCACUGAACAAAAUAUCCAUUUAUAUAUUGUAAAGAAUUAAUCUUAAGCUCAUAACUACUCAGAUACUCAGAUAGUUGGCUGUGGAAUCGUUUAAGGGUAAAUUAAAUUUUCACCAUGAGUAUCGUGAUCAUUUUCUGAAAGUGUACGACGCCAGUGAGUGAAAACGUGAAUGUUGACCCUUACGGAGAUAUGCACAGAUUUCCCAUUGACAGGAAAAGGACUUUCGCUCAUUCCCGACUCCUAAAGAAUAUGAAAUUGUGCUGCCUUGCUACUUAUGUACCAGUCAUUUGUGGAUCUGUAUUAAAAUUCAAGCUCUUUCAUGCUAUUAAUAUUCCAUUGCGUAUUCGCGCGAGAAUAUAUUCCAUUUUUAAUAACACGAAACUUUAUGAAAAUUUUAUAAAUACAAGGCAGCGAUGGCGUUGGCAAAGGCGAAGGCGAUGGAAUAGGAUGUGCAGGAGUAGCUGUUGCCAGAUUCCUUGACAGAAAAGAAAAGGAAAGCUCAAAAGUCAAAGCAAACAGGGGAAAACUUACUGGGGCCAAGGAUCCGAACCAAACUGAACUGAACUGAGCUGAACCGAACCCCAAGCUGGAGAAAUUGCGCAAUGAAUCCAUUUGGGUGAUGGUGAAAAGUCGGGUGCACAACCACCCACACAAACACACACACACCAACACGCAAACUCGCCCGAAUGAAAACAAAGAGAGGAAAAAAAAACCAUUGAAAUGUAAAUAUUAAAUAUACAAGUACAAGUUGCCAGUUAGUGUGCCCCCGCCAUUGUUUGUUGCAGCACCUUGCAGAUCCAGAAAAACACCCACUCCAAAAUCCAAUCCACCCACCACUUGACGGUAAACUCCCCGCGGCGUCAUUGUGCUUCCUGGCAGGCGGCAGUGGAAAA